GGAGUGGAUUGGGAAGGAUUUGGGGUCCCCUAGGAAUGGUUUUGAGCCUUGGGCUGGAUUGAAGAGGAUUUGGAAUCUCCAGGGAUGUUGAGGAAUUUGAGGUGGAUCAGGGAGGAUGUGGGGGUUAGAGUGGAGAAUUGAGGGAUUUGGUGUGUGGGAAUGAGACAAGGUGCACAGGUGAGGAUUUGGGGAUGUCAGAUUCCUUGGGAUUUGGGGGUGCAGUGGGGGGGACUAGAGUAUCAGGGAGCUCCAGUAGGGGGAAUGUGGUGUCUGUCCAUUUCAGUGCACCUAAAAAACGAGGCACUGGGGGUGCAGGGGUAUCAGCAGGGCCCCACAGUGCCCACCUUGCUGUAGUUAAUGGGUGGCUGAGCGGUGGCAGCUGCCCCGGGUGGCCGAGCACCAGGGGUCACAACAUGAAUCUCGGUGCAGGUCAGGCGCUCACUGUCACUGGGGUACCUGGAGACACAGAGGAACAGUGAGGUGCCACCGUGGGGGUCUCCAACCUCCUUUGGAGGGGGGCCUAUGGUGAGGUUAUUUGAGGGCGGAGUCCAAGAGAGUGGGUCUGGAGUUUGGGAGGGACUGAGAGUUGGGGAUCCCAUGGGAGAUAUCUGGGGGUCCUGCUGUGGUUUGGGUGAGCCCACAGGGUGUGGGAGUGUUGAGGGAUUGUGGGACCACAGGGGAUUAGAUCUGUCAUCCCCGUGGGUCAGAUAUUGGGGUACCAUAUUUGUGGGUUUGGGUGUUCAUUCUACUUGGUAUGUGGGUGCUUUAUGGGGUGUGGGGCAUGUUGAUGGCCUGGAGGGCUGCAGCGUGUCUGAGGGCUGAGAUUUUGUGUCUGGAUUUACCCCUCAAUGCAGAAUUCAAUUUUCUUGAAAUUUGCUGUAUUAUGGACAGAGUUUUGGUUUCCGUGGUGGGCUUUGGUGGGGGUUAUAGGGGGCCUUGAGUCAUGCCCAAGGAGUUCUAUAGGGAAUCUAUAGGGAAUCAAAGGGCAGGAAGGUACACCUGGGAGGAUCUGUAUGGGAUAGAAGGGCAGGCAGAGGACACUGGGGGGAUGUAUAGGGGGUGGGAGACAUUUAACCCCUUCCUCAUCACAGCUCUCAUCUCUCUGUAUUCAGAGGCUGCAGGCAUCGACAAUGAAGAAGACUCCAAGGCCGAAGACGAGUGCAGCAACCAAGCCCCUCACCAGUGCUAUCACCAGAUUUACAUGGGACCACUCCUCAGCACCCGUGGGGUCCGUGUAUUUGGUUGUUCCUGUUGCCAGCCACAACCCCCAUACAGACUGAAUCUAGAGACAGAGUCACCAGUCCACGGCAGGGGGUGCACAAAAUGGGGAGGCUCAGACCCACCUCGGGUUGCGGAUGUGGGUGUCACCUCCAGCAUCACGCUGUUCCCAAGGGGAGAGGACAUUAAGGGCAAGUAGCCCUUGAUGAGGCACCCGGUACUGGCACUGAUACGUACCUGUGUGUUCCCGCAUUGUGCUAACAAAGGAGAACUCGGCCGUAUUCUGCACCUGGUGCUUGUACAUGCAGAAGAUGGAUCAUUCUUCCUGGC